ACCCAAAUUGUGACAAUUUUCACAUGUUUUCGUUGAAUGCAUUCUGAAAGUUUAACUUUCAGUUUUUCUUUUAACCUUUCUAACAAGGAGGCAUCGUAAGUUCAAUAUUAUAAUCGAUUUUACAAUUGAUCGCUCACGUGCUCUUAUUCGAACACGCUGUGACGUCAUCACCUCAUGGUUCCGGAUUGCAGCAGGUGCGAGGACCCAAAUUGUGACACUUUCGGUCGUGGUAAAAUAAGGCGUCUUAUCCACACAAAAUGCGGAAAUUGGAAGCGGAUUAGAUUUUGAUCAGGACAAUGUCCACAGCGCCAGGCUUCCUUUGCCAGAUCCCACUCUCUGUAAACAUAGGAAGGCAGACAGGACUUGUGAUAUGACUUCCCACACUUGCAGUUAAUCCAGAACAAAUCAAUGCCAUCACGAAUUUCGAUCGCAGUGCAUGACAGCAUGCAGACUUGGCAAAGUACUUCAUGGGUGGUACAUGACAUAUCUUCUGAAUGUAGAAUGCCAUCAUUUUGGCACAGAUGACAAUGCCAUGUACCACCAGUGAGUAGACUCAAGUCAACAUCUGCAUGCUGGUCAUGAGUCAGACACUCUCGGUGAUACCACCUGCUACACCUUGCAUUAUCACAGCCAACCCAGAAAAUCCCACUCUCUUCAUCACUGGUAUGACCUUGGAUAUUGCAUAUAGGACAGGUGAAUUCUGGGGACAUGCAACUUUGGUAAUUCUGUUUCAACAUGAUGCUUGCCCUGAAAGUCAAGGAAAGGUUAGAAGUUAGUUUCCUCUUCUCCUCUUUCUCCUUCAGCUGCUCAUAGAUUUGUUCUCCUGGGAUUAAAGACAGAUCAAUUAAGAAAGAACACAGAAAUGGAAAGAACAAGGAAAUAUAAGAAGAUAAAGAACAAGGAAAUAUAACAAGGAAAUAUAAGAAGAUAAAGAACAAGGAAAUAUAAGAAGAUAAAGAACAAGGAAAUAUAAGAGGACAUACAAUAAGUUUCUUGACUGAGACUAGUGUUAUUGGAGGUGGACCAAUGAUCGGGACCAGCACAGCUGCCAAUUCCUGUGGUAUGAUGCCUUGGGUCACCAGAGGAUGGCCCAUGACAAACUGACCACAAGAAUGGCAGAGAGGGUCUUGCCGUAAUGAAAUGUUGUCUCCCCCUGGUCCCAUGUUGUUGAUGGGAUCGAACUCUGGAUCUUUGGGCGCUAGCUGUGACUUAUCGAUGGCAUCUUUAUCGAACGGGAAAAUGCCACAUUUCCUGAAUCCAGCCUUGAUAUUGUGAGGACUGAAGACCUUGUCCACAGCAGCUUGAAGUACCUGAGCUAGUCUUGAUGAAUUAAAAAAGAAGCUUAGACUGACUGCUAAAUCAGACACAGCUUUUUUUAGUGGCCUGAAAAGCGCAACAUCUAGCGGUUAAAGGAGAUGGGUCGUAUGGGGUGGCAAGCAGAAGAACUCUAUCUGGUUGGCUCUAGCCAUAUCAAUAAGUGGAAUCGAAAGGUGACUCUCGUGGUUGUCAAGCACCAGUAAAAUAGGUCUGGACCUAGGCACAUGCUUCAGAAAAAUUUCCUGGAACCAUUUUCGGAACAAGUCCGAGUCCAUGUAGCCAUUUUCUGACGUGCCGAAAAGCCAACUUUGUGGAAUUCCUUCAGGAAAGAAAACAAAAGCAACGAUGAAAUCUGAGAUACAUACCAUCUCUAUACAUUCCACUUGGGAAGGACUUUUCAUAAAUUACCAUGGUGGGUAAGACACGUCCAUCUGCAGAGACACAUACAUUUGCUGUCGUGUGGUUUGAGGUGACAACUACUCGAGAUUGUGCCUGUCUCCUGUCAGCUACACAGACCUUGUCUAGGGACAUACCCUUCCCAAAGCCUGUCUCGUCCACAUUGAAUAUGCACUCUGGCUUAUUUCCGAGACCUUGAAAUGGAUUGAUUGACAAAAAUUAAUAUAACAGCUUAAAGUGCUGUGCCAUGACUGUCUCAUUUGACAUUCUUGUCCUUCCACCAUCGACAAGUUGGGGACUCUUCAUCGAUAGUCUUGGAUGCCGUGAUAGAAAAGACCUAAACCAUUUAUUGGACGGACCGUUUCCUGAUCCUGACAGUUGUCUGCCGCUUUUGGAUACAAUACCUCUGACAAAUGAUUUUAUUACUUUCCGUGUUAAAGGCAUAGCUCUGGCCUGACAGUAUACUAUAUAUGCCACUAAUUGCUCCUCCUCUACUUUGCUUAACACCCGGACUGGAUGGCCUUUCAAUAAUCCUUUUUGAUGACGGGAUAUGGUCAUGCGAUUUAUUUUAUGUAGCUUCUCAAGACUUCUAAUUGACUUCCCAGGCUUUGCAUCUUUAAUAGCUUGUUUCAGUUGAUCCGGUGUGUAUUUCUUAUAUUUUCCUGUUGAACAACAUGUGUUUGCUAAUAAUUAUUCAAAUAAAAUUUUAACUGUA